GUUUAUGAAUAACUUGUGUAUUACGUCACACGUAACGACGAUUUUGUAUAAAAUACGGAACUGAUGUUCCUACUGGGAGCUUAUCUCCAAGAACCUCCAUGCAGUUAGCAGUAUCUCUUAAAUUAUAAUUUGCUGCACCAAAUAAGAGUACUUGGUUAUAAUAUUUAAUAGACUUGAUAAUUAACCAAGUCUUCAUAUAAAAAUGCUGACGUACUGUUUGUAAAUUGCUAAUCAUGCACCGAGUAUGCUGAGUAUUGGCCGUUUCAGAAUCUAAAGGACUAUGGGUAAUUUGAUUGUUCGUACCCCAAAAUGAAAAUAACGUCACGUCAUUGGUUGAACUUCAAUUUUUAGGACAUUUUUAACCAAUCACGACGCUUUGAUGUAGACUUUUGAAAAUAUUACCCAGAACGCAUUAGAUUCUGAAACGGCGAAUUAAAAAGUAGUGUCAUAGGUAAAAUAGCGAUAAACAGAUUAUCAUUGGUCAUCUCAGCGAUAAUCUAUAAAUAUCAUAGAAUGUAAAGCAAUUAUUUUUAAUAUUUCUUGAUGAAUGGUUUCGUAAAAUGAAAGUUUUAAGUUUACCGUGAAUCCACAAAUCAUUUUUCUCCUUUUAUCGAUGCUGUAAUUACAUUUCCAGGGGCCUCUAAGUUUAUCAUUAAUUAACAUUAAAUAGUUGACACGAAAGAUGUGAAAACGUUACUUUUUAUUCAUUUUGGGGAUUUCGAAAACUUUGAUUAAGCAUACCCAUGGAAGGUUAAUCCAGAAAACAGCG
rnacentral:lncRNA from 1 species